AAAAAAUCAGUGCCACAAGCAGUAGAUUGCCUCAGGGAUGAAAAGCUGGCCUCUAGCCAUCUUCCUCUGUUUCACCAGGCCUCCUUGGUUCAUCCAGGCAGCAUGGGCUGGAAGUUAUGAGUUCCACCUUCCUGCUCCUACCGCUCUCAAGAGAGACAAAUUAGAAGGUCAGUAAAGAAAGGCUACCGCUACCGAAAAACCUUCCUUUCCAGCACCUGAGAAGGUGUUUUGAGUUGGAUUGAGGAAAGAGGAAAACCCCACAGACUUCACAUGGAGCACGAGCAGUGUCGUCGCCCCAGUUCAGAAGGAAGGUGCUACAGCGCAGCAGGCUCCUGGGAAAGGAUCGGCAAAGACCUCCUCCACCCCCAGCGCCCAAGCGCCUGCAGGUGCCUCCCUUGUUGGUAGUUUGUUACUCAGGUAGUAAACUGCAGCAUAAUGAACAGAGCAAAGAGGAAGUGCCUGGGAGAGCUGCGCUGAAGCCUAGCACCUGCCUUUUCUCACCCGCCAGCAAGUUACACUUAGUGAACUGGAUUUUCCUGAACUGUUCAAGCAAUGGUAAGGUGCCAAAAAUUCUAAUUUUAGGGGGCAGGAGUAUUUUUAAACCAAGAGCCAGACUGGAGCAGUGAGCCAUACAGUUGAAUCAGCAGAGGUAGUGAGUUUACAGAGGGCUGGUGGUGGGUAGAUGGCAACUGGAGCAGCUUGAAUCUGCUCACUGCUCACAAAACAGUUCUGGGG
rnacentral:lncRNA from 1 species